UACGGGGGGGGCAAGCGUUGUUCGGAAUUACUGGGCGUAAAGGGCCAGUAGGCGGCCAACUAAGUCGGAUGUGAAAUCCCCAGGCUCAACCUGGGAACUGCAUCCGAUACUGGAUGGCUUGAAUUCGGGAGAGGGAUGCAGAAUUCCGGGUGUAGCGGUGAAAUGCGUAGAUAUCAAGAGGAACACCUGAGGUGAAGACGGGUUGCUGGGCUGACACUGACGCUGAGGCACGAAAGCUAGGGUAGCAAACGGG
rnacentral:rRNA from 1 species